CAUCAACAGAUGAUCGAGGGUAGUUUGGAUAGAUUACGCCAGUGAAAACCAACUCUAUCUGUGACAGGAUUGAGUCUAUCCUUUUUCAUUACAUUUCUUCUUAAACCUGCCCUCCUCUUGAUUGAUCUACCACAGAAGCCUCCCUCUCCCUUCUUCUUCACCUCUGGUAAUUGCCAGACUCUGCAACCAAGCCACUGUUAUCCAAAAAUUCUUUGUUCUCCCUAAUUCUAUCUAUUUUUUUGUUUCGGGAGAUUUUGGACGUGAUACCUAUCGGAAUCUACCUUGCCGGCUGC
rnacentral:lncRNA from 1 species